AACUCGACUCCAUGAAGUCGGAAUCGCUAGUAAUCGUGGAUCAGAAUGCCACGGUGAAUACGUUCCCGGGCCUUGUACACACCGCCCGUCACACCAUGGGAGUGGGUUGCAAAAGAAGUAGGUAGCUUAACCUUCGGGAGGGCGCUUACCACUUUGUGAUUCAUGACUGGGGUGAAGUCGUAACAAGGUAACCGUAGGGGAACCUGCGGUUGGAUCAC
rnacentral:rRNA from 1 species